CUUUCUGUGGCACAAUCGGUUAGCGCCAUUUGGCUAUUAACCAAAAGGUUGGUGGUUUGAGCCCACCCAGGGACG
rnacentral:tRNA from 1 species